rnacentral:sRNA from 1 species
CAGCGGAGGUGGUAGACAUCUACUACGAGAGCGACCAGGUGGUGGAGGAGGACCCGGAGCUGCAGGACUUCGUGAACGACGUCUAUGUGUACGGCAUGCGGGGCCGCAAGUCCUCAGGCUUCCCCAAGUCGGUCAAGAGCCGGGAGCAGCUGUCGGAGUACCUGACGGUGGUGAUCUUCACCGCCUCCGCCCAGCACGCCGCGGUCAACUUCGGCCAGGUAGGCAGGGCCGGGCCCGCUGGGCAGGGCUCCUUUCUCAAAGCCGCUGCCUCCUCCCCCGCCCGGGUUCUGCACGCGUACCGCACCCUCGGACAGCCUCGGGGCCUGGCAUGGGACUUGCAGGAUGGAUUCUGCCCACUCAGCCAAGGGCGCUGGCCGCGGGGAAAGAGGAUGGACGGACUGCAGGGCCCGCUGGAGUUGGGGGGCACGGGGAGGACGGGGCCCAGGGGCAGCUGGGCAGCAGGGCUUCGGGGGUGCCCACGCUUUCUGGUGGUCGUCUCCGCAGUACGACUGGUGCUCCUGGAUCCCCAAUGCGCCCCCAACCAUGCGAGCUCCGCCGCCGACUGCCAAGGGCGUGGUGACCAUUGAGCAGAUCGUGGACACG